CCCCCGACGGCACACUGAGGAUGCGCGGGACGUAACUUUGGGGGACAUUGGAAAGGCAAUCAUAGCCCUAGACGAGGUGGUGCUCGGAGGAGCAUCUCACCCCACUUCCAAGAAGCUUCUCGCUGCAGUCGCCACCUCAGACAGGUAUGUGAAGCAUUGCCCCUUUCUCUCGGCCCUCUCCAUUUCAUUGCCGCCAGUCCUUCCAUGCAGUGACUAGUCACACGUUCUCACGUUGAACUGUGUCUGCGACAGACGUGGCAACGGUUCCCGGAUACCAGUGCCCCUUAGCUGCUUUCCUGCACCGAUUCUUCCUGUGGUUUCUGCGCAGCCGGUCAGUCGUCAUGCGGCAUUGGCGGCCUCGGUGUCUUCAUCUCCAGCUAUUCGGGCUAGAAAGCGCAUAGCACGCUUGGCCCUGACCUUUCCACCGCUACUGCGAGUAUUGACGGGGUCGAGAAAACCGCCGCGGACGAAACUGCCAGCAACGACGCCCGCACCUCGCAUACGGGGGAUGACGUCUGUGCACCCGUCCGAUACCGCGCGUCCGCACGCGUGUGCGGCACUUCUGAGGUUUCAGAGCUACUCUGUGCCCACUUCCUUUUCGCUGUAGAUGCGGCCGACAAAGCCCAGGCCUUUCCACCUCCUCGGCGUACUCGAGAUAGACUCUAGCGUCAUCAGCAACAUGCAGCAGUUGGCUUUCUCACGGCUCUCUCAGCGCCGCUGCGCUGCGACAGCACCCCCUCCCCCUGCCUCGCAGUUGCGAUUCACAACCGCCAUCCACGGGGGAGACAACGGCUGAAGUCUCUGCUGCGGCAACGAUGCCAAAAGCGGCAACGGAUGAAACAGCGGCUCACACUGCUACGGAUGAGAAGGAUGUGCACCUAACACGGCCUUCUGCCCCUGCACAAGCGAUCUCAGACAGCGGCACAGAGCUGCCGGCUCUCUUACCUGCAGGGCUACAGCCCUUUCUCGCGACAAGGAUACAAGAGCCAGCGGUAGUGCUGGGCGUUGCAAUGAGAGACGCCGUCGCUUGUCCUCUCGUGCUGCCGGCAGUAAUCACGUCCACGGCGGAUAAAACAGAGAAUCAUGAGGCCUUUUCGGGGUCGCCUCGACCAAAGGGCACUGACUGUGCUAAGAGGCUUUCCACCCCACAUGACCCACAAGAGAGCGCUCUGCAGUGCAAGGAAACGCUGCCACCAUCGUCCGGGCUGUCUCUGGCGCUGCAGCCGCACCGACAGAGGUUGCUGCCGUUGUGUCUGCGGCGACUUCCUCACCCCCACAGUUUAAGCGGCCACUGCGCGCGGCGUCGGCAGGUUCAUAAAUUGCGCGCGUCCGUCUCAUGCCUGCUCCGCGAUUGCAAGCGUAGG
rnacentral:misc_RNA from 1 species